GAGGUAACCUAUUAGGAGCCAGCCGCCUAAGGUGGGAUAGAUGAUUGGGGUGAAGUCGUAACAAGGUAGCCGUAUCGGAAGGUGCGGCUGGAUCACCUCCUUU
rnacentral:rRNA from 1 species